UAUUCAUCUAUGUUGUGAUUUCCAACAACUUUGUAAUGUCAUAUAAUAAGAUGAAGCCUGAUUAACAUUAUUACUAAACAGUAGACACUGCAAUAGGACUUCUAACAAUAUGAAUGCCAUCACUCCAAGUGAGCCACCCAAACGAGUACACCCCUUUCUCCGCCUUCCAACUACCUUCAACCGUUAACUCGAAGCUCUUCGUCUCACCGGCACGGUUAAAAUGCAAUACAGGUGGAGAAACCUUGACAGUUAUUCCCAUUGGUGGUUCCACACUAGCAAAGUAAACACUCCCUUUACCGCCGACAUUCGUAACCGUUCUUCCCACGGUCACUUUGCCAUUUAGUUGCGGGAAACUGAAAGUCGGGUAGUUUAGGUUUUGAGUUGAAGGUGUGGUUUGGGGGCAUGUGAAAGCUGGGUUGGAUUUUAGAUCGCCACGACUGCAUAGAAAUAAGAGAUAAUCUGUGUAGGAAGCAUCGUAGACGAGCCCAGGAUCAGCUGCUUUUUCUGGUCUGAAAUGGCCCGACCCGUAUUGAAAUGGAUCCGCCUUGUUGCCUGAUGCGUCGGUUAUUUGUGUCCCAACCCAUUAACGGAGCGGGUUUAACUUGUAAUACGGUUUUCCCCGGAUAAAU
rnacentral:lncRNA from 1 species